UGUCUUUUAUUAAAGUUUAUUGCCAAAGCCACAAAAUCUAUAUUCCUGUAUAUUCGCUAAUUAACCACAGCCUCAUGACGAAAUACCGCGUAAAUUCGAAUUGGCUCCUAAGCAUUCGAACGUGUUAAGAACAAAAGCGAAGUGAGCAAACAUUGAACGCUUUGUACAAAUGUCUUUUUUGAAAGGCAUUCAAAUGGUGCGAUUGAUUUCAAGCGAGUUUUGCGGUGAUUAAUUGCAGGGGUCACACAUACUGAUUGCGGAUCAAAAAAUAGCUACAUUCCCAAUUGAAGUGGGCAAAUAUUUAUUUAUCUUAUCGCCGCACGGAAUGAGAAAGAUUGGCACGGACAUAUGAUCAAGCCCUCUGCUAGCAGUAGCCGAUUUUCCAAAAAUUAAUUGAAAAUCAUUUAAAAUAUAAAUUAUACCAAGAAAAAGUAUAAUAAUGAAUCAAAAAUGAAAGAGGAUAUUCUCCUAAUUUGUACGAUACUUGCGUUAUUGGAAUUUUCGGAAAAAAUUGGAAAAGGAGUUACCAUUACAUCUUUAGCAAAAUUAUAUGGCGUGACUAAACCAACAAAGUCGGGAAUAAACAAUGGGAAUCGUAACAUAAUCUCUCACCAGGCAGAUGGAACAAGAGAAAUACUCUUCGAACAGGCGACUAUCCCCAAAUAGAGAAAGCAUUAUACAACGGGCUUGUGGCGCAACGCAAAAGCAAAAAAAAAACUGACCAGUCAGAGGGGAAACACUGAAGAAAAAACGAAAAAGUUGCUCACUAAUAUUAAUGGCACAGAAAGUGAUUUUCUUGCCACCUCCGGUUGGCUAUCUGGGUUUAAAUCUUGUUUUGGAGUUCGGCAAUUAAAAGUGUUCGGCGGAAGAUUGUCAUCCGAUACCCAAGCAGUUGAGCCCUGUUUGUUCUGAAAGAUGUUGCCUGAAAGAACUUAUGUCGGCCAAACUCCGGGGAGAAGAGAAGAAAAGGCCAGAAUAACUGUUCCUGCCUGCAUUAAUACAAACGGUUAGCAGCCUUGCGAAGAAACUGCGCUCUUUUAAGUCAUAUGACCGGUAGAGUGCAUGGAUGAUCGUCGAUAUUUUAAUAGAAUGGUACCACCAUUGUUUCGUCCCUCUGGUUUUGAAAAGUUUUUCCACGCUUUGGCUAUGAGUUCUUAAAAGGGACCUAACCUACAGAGUGGUGCGCUUGUUUUUAGGACGAUCGAAAAAUCCAACAGACCGGUUGCCGGUUUACCAUGAACACGAGACCGAUCGGGGAAGUUAGCGGUUACAAUUGGGUCUCACACUAAGCAGCUAUAGAUAUGCUCAUCAGCUGCUAUAAAACUACUUAAUUAUUUUAAACUCUUAGCAAG
rnacentral:lncRNA from 1 species